GACGAACGCUGGCGGUGUGCUUAACACAUGCAAGUCGAACGGUAAGGCCCUUUCGGGGGUACACGAGUGGCGAACGGGUGAGUAACACGUGAGUAACCUGCCCUCAUCUCUGGGAUAACAGUCGGAAACGGUUGCUAAUACUGGAUAUGAGCUUGCAAGGCAUCUUGUGGGUUGGAAAGAUUUUUUUGGUUGGGGAUGGACUCGCGGCCUAUCAGCUUGUUGGUGAGGUAGUGGCUCACCAAGGCUUCGACGGGUAGCCGGCCUGAGAGGGCGACCGGCCACAUUGGGACUGAGAUACGGCCCAAACUCCUACGGGAGGCAGCAGUGGGGAAGAUUGCACAAUGGACGGAAGUCUGAUGCAGCAACGCCGCGUGCGGGAUGACGGCCUUCGGGUUGGAAACCGCUUUCAAUUGUGACGAAGCUUUUUGUGACGGUAGCAGUAGAAGAAGCACCGGCUAACUACGUG
rnacentral:rRNA from 1 species